rnacentral:rRNA from 1 species
UUGCGUAGGUGGCAUAGUAAGCGAGUAGUGAAAGCGUGUGGCUCAACCAUACUCACAUUAUUUGAACUGCUAAGCUAGAGGAUGAGAGAGGUUAUUGGAAUUCCCAGUGUAGGAGUGAAAUCCGCAGAUAUUGGGAGGAACACCGAUGGCGUAGGCAGAUAACUGGCUCAUUCCUGACACUAAGGCACGAAAGGCGUGGGGAGCAAACG